rnacentral:rRNA from 1 species
UGGGGAAUAUUGGGCAAUGGGGGAAACCCUGACCCAGCAACGCCGCGUGAGGGAAGAAGGUUUUCGGAUUGUAAACCUCUGUCCUAAAGGACGAAACAAAUGACGGUACUUUAGGAGGAAGCCCCGGCUAACUACGUGCCAGCAGCCGCGGUAAUACGUAGGGGGCGAGCGUUGUCCGGAAUUAUUGGGCGUAAAGGGUGCGUAGGCGGCCAAAUAAGUCAGAUGUGAAAUACCGGGGCUUAACUCCGGGGCUGCAUUUGAAACUAUAUGGCUGGAGUACAGGAGAGGGAAGCGGAAUUCCUAGUGUAGCGGUGAAAUGCACAGAUAUUAGGAGGAACACCAGUGGCGAAGGCGGCUUUCUGGACUGUAACUGACGCUGAGGCACGAAAGCGUGGGGAGCAAACAGG